rnacentral:rRNA from 1 species
GACGAACGCUGGCGGCGUGCCUAAUACAUGCAAGUAGAACGCAGUUGCGAACGGGUGAGUAACGCGUAGGUAACUGCCUCAUAGCGGGGGAUAACUAUUGGAAACGAUAGCUAAUACCGCAUACUGUGAGAUGGAACUGCGUUGUCUUAGCUAGUUGGUGAGGUAAAGUCUAACCAAGGCGACGAUACAUAGCCGACCUGAGAGGGUGAUCGGCCACACGGUGAAGGAUACACGGCCCAUACUCCUACGGGAGACAGCAGUAGGGAAUCUGCGGCAAUUGACGGAAUGCUGACCGAGCAACGCCGCGUGAGUGAAGAAGGUUUUCGAAUCGUAAAGCUAUGUUGUUAGAGAAGCGUUAACUAACCAGAAAGGGACGGCUAACUACGUGCCAGCAGCCGCGGUAAUUC